CGCGAACGAAGGCUCGCUCUCUCUCUCUUUCCUCUGCGAAUCGCCCCCUGCUCCUGAACGCGGACGCGCCGAUGCCAACGCCGUCGCCUCCCGCCGUCACCUUCCCAAGCCCCACCGAUAGGCACCCCAUUGGCGACUCCCGUACGUCCUGGAGUCGGUAGAAUUCAGAGGAAGAUUCGAAGGAAGCAGUAGACCUUGUUUUUAUUCAAUAAGCAAAUCUGUUGGUUUUCUGGACAAAGAACUUGCUGCUAGUGGGUUUACUAGAAAAGAGCAAGAUGAUAUGGACAAGUUCGUCAAGAAGAAAAGGACCAGGAUAUAUGUUAUGAUGAUGAAGAAGAUAGUGCUGGAAGGGAUGAAACAAUCAUGAGUGAUGUUGACUCUUUGCAUCUGCUGGAUCAGCCAGGGCACAUUGUAGAAGGAAAUGAGGAGGAAAUCAAAGAAAAUAGACAAAGAUGUGAUGGACAACUCAGCAAACCUUGUUGUGAGGGAUACUUCAAUGAGGAUGAAAGUGAAGAGAAUGCGAAUGAUGCUGAGUUGGUAAAGCGCCUGAACAAGCAGAGACGGCGAGCAAUUGCUGCUGUUUAUAGAGGAGGGAAGACCAUUGCUUCUAGAAAUUCUUACAAGGACAAAGGUGGAAGGUCAUCUCACAAUUCCAAAAUUCAAAAACAAUUAAGUUCCCGGUAGUGCACUUGGAAGAAUUCAGCAGCAUGUAGGGGCUGGAGGAAGUCUGAGGAACAAAUGAGGAAAGAGAUGGAAAGAUUUGAUCGUGAAAGAAGGAAGGAAGAAGAAAGGUUGAUGCGUGAACAGCAGAGAGAGGAGGAGAGAUUGCUACGUGAGCAAAGGCGUUAAUCAGAGCGACGGGAGAAGUAUUUACAGAAAGAAUCUAUUAAGGCGGAGAAAAAGAGACAAAAAGAAGAGCUUCGUCGAGAAAAAGAAGCAGAGAGACGAAAAGCUGCAGUGGAGAAGGCCACUGCUCGCAGAAUUGCCAAGGAAUCCAUGGAGCUUAUGGAGGAUGAACAGCUGGAGCUGAUGGAAUUGGCCGCUGCAAGCAAGGGGUUGCCUUCAAUUGUUAAUCUGAAACGUUUAGAAGUGAGGAUCUGGUUUAUAUUUCCUUGCACUUGAAUUUGCUUCAUGCUGUCAUUUUGUAGUAAAGGAGCUGAUUUUGACAUCUUGAAAUUAUAGCCAAUAGAUGCAUAGAUAUGUAUCUCCUGUUACUGUUUCUUGUUUCUGUAGUUACACGGAAAAAAAGAGUUUCUGGUUUGUUGUACGGUGCUAUUCUGGUAAUUGAGUAUACAUGCGUAUGUACAUAAGCAGGUGCAUGCCCCGAUGUGUAUGCGUGCAUGCUUUCAUUUCAUUUCCAGACCGCGCGAAAAGCCUUAUAUUACCUUGGCAUACAACUCUACAUAUGAGCGAAAUGCAGGAUCUUCCGACAAUGCCUCGUCAGUCGGCAGUUUCAGUAGCCCCUCUUAUUCCCAUUCAACAAUUACCUCCGACUAAAGCCAAACUAGGGCGCUCCUUCUUUUUCCCAGAUGUGUUGAACUAGAUAGUGCGUGCUUUUCAUUUUGGUUUGCCAAUUCAUUAUCCCUUUUUCAUGUUAAUCUCCACAGUUCACUUGCAGAAUAAUUAGUUUUCAAAUCAGAAGCAAUGUCCAAAUUACCAGAGCCAUUGUGUCAAUGAGAGGCGCACACGUCCCAUACGACAUCACGAGAGGUCGAAACCUCGCCUCUGACUUGAUUUCCCGUUAAGCAGACGAAACAAUGCAGCCAUCUACAAGCUGAGAGGAGAGAAAGAUGAAAUGGCGAGACUGGAUCUUCAACCAAAGUUAGGACCCCAGCGUGCAAUGAGGAGGCUCCUCUUGCUCGAAGACUGGCUUUUAACCUAGAGGAAUCCUAGCGCGCUCCUUCCCCAGAUGUGUUGAACCGGAUAGUGUAUGCCUUUCAUUUUAAUUUGAAAGUUCGUUAUUCUUUUUUCAUGUUAAUCUCCUUAAUUCACCGACAGAAUUAUUUGUUUUCAAAUCAGAAGCGAUGUCCAAAUUACCAGAGUCAUUGUGUCAAUUAAGAGGUGCGCGCGUCCCAUACUUCUUCACGAGAGGUCGAAACCACGUCUCUGACUUGAUUCCCCGUUGAAGCAGACGAAACAAUACAGCCAUCCACAAGCUGAGAGGAGAAUUCGAAAAAGAUGGAGAAAGGGCUAGAGUGGUUCUUCAACCAAAGUUAAAACACUAACGUGCGUUGAAGAACAAAUCCACCAAUGAAAGAUUCCAAGUGUUGAAAAUGUUCGCUGUUCAAUGACGGAAAAGGUUGGAGAAAUUUGC